rnacentral:rRNA from 1 species
GGAAGUAAAAGUCGUAACAAGGUUUCCGUAGGUGAACCUGCGGAAGGAUCAUUACCGAGUUAGGGUCUUCCAUGGCCCAACCUCCAACCCCUUGUAUACUACCAAGUGUUUUAUUGUUGCUUCGGUGGGCCAAGUGCCCACCGAAGCCCAACAAAAUCUCAGUAAUGAUGUUGUCUGAGUCAUUUAAGUAAUAAUCAAAACUUUCAACAACGGAUCUCUUGGUUCCCGCAUCGAUGAAGAACGCAGCGAAAUGCGAUAAGUAAUGUGAAUUGCAGAAUUCAGUGAAUCAUCGAAUCUUUGAACGCACAUUGCGCCCCUUGGCAUUCCGAAGGGCAUGCCUGUUCGAGCGUCAUGAUCAAAUCUCAAGCCUUGCUUGGUAUUGGGCUUUCGCCUUCCCUAUCUUGUUUACAGUUAGUGGCGUGCCUGAAAGUCAAUGGCAGUGUCCUCAAUAGACUCAAGCGUAGCAGACUGACUCGCUUUUGAGAACUUUUGUAGGUCCUGUCAACAAAAUAAUCAAGUUGGACCUCGGAUCAGGUAGGGAUACCCGCUGAACUUAAGCAUAUCAAUAAGCGGAGGA